rfam:Asian citrus Psyllid, Diaphorina citri - Florida Strain, whole genome shotgun sequence.
GCCUAGUUAGCUUAGUUGGUAGUGCGUCUGCCUCGUAAGCGCAAGGCCACGGGUUCGAUUCCCGCCCGGGGCG